AUGUGUGACUUCACCAAGGACCAGACCGCAGAAUUUAAGGAGGCCUUCCAGCUGUUGGACUGAAUAGGUGAUGGAUAGAUCCUGUACAGCCAGUGUGGAGAUGUAAUGAGGGCCCUGGGCCAGAACCCCACCAACGCCAGGGUGUUCAAGGUCCUGGGAAACCCUAAGAAUGAUGAAAUGAAUGUGAAGGUCUUGGAUUUUCCACACUUCCUGCCCAUGCUGCAGACUGUGGCCAAGAACAAGGACCAGGGCGCCUAUGAGGACUGUGUUGAAGGCCUUCGGGUGUUUGACAAGGAAGGAAACAGCACUGUCAUGGGCGCUGAAAUCCGGCAUGUCCUUGUCACACUGGGUGAGAAGAUGACAGAGGAAGAAGUAGAGAUGCUGGUGGCAGGGCAUGAGGACAGCAAUGGUUGUAUCAACUAUGAAAAGCUCGUCUGAAUGGUGCUGAAUGGCUGA